AUUGAACGCUGGCGGCAGGCCUAACACAUGCAAGUCGAACGGUAACAGGAAACGGCUUGCUGUUUCGCGGACGCGUGGCGGACGGGUGAGUAAUGUAUGGGAGACUGUCUUAUGGCGGGGGAUAACUACUGGAAACGGUAGCUAAUACCGCAUAAAGUCGCAAGAGCAAAGAGGGGGGCCUUCGCGCCACUUGCCAUCGGCUGUGCCCAGAUGGGAUUAGCUAGUAGGUGGGGUAACAGCUCACCUAGGCGACGAUCCCUAGCUGGUCUGAGAGGAUGACCAGCCACACUGGAACUGAGACACGGUCCAGACUCCUACGGGAGGCAGCAGUGGGGAAUAUUGCACAAUGGGCGCAAGCCUGAUGCAGCCAUGCCGCGUGUGUGAAGAAGGCCUUCGGGUUGUAAAGUACUUUCAGCGGGGAGGAAGGGAGUCAAGUUAAUACCUUUACUCAUUGACGUUACCCGCAGAAGAAGCACCGGCUAACUCCGUG
rnacentral:rRNA from 1 species